rnacentral:rRNA from 1 species
UAUCGGUAUUAGAUGGUCAUGCGUUCUAUUAGUUAGUUGGUAAGGUAACGGCUUACCAAGACAUCGAUAGAUAGGGGCCCUGAGAGGGGGAUCCCCCACACUGGUACUGAGACACGGACCAGACUCCUACGGGAGGCAGCAGUGAGGAAUAUUGGACAAUGGAGGCAACUCUGAUCCAGCCAUGCCGCGUGAAGGAAGACUGCCCUAUGGGUUGUAAACUUCUUUUAUAGAGGAAGAAACGCAGAUACGUGUAUUUGUUUGACGGUACUCUACGAAUAAGGAUCGGCUAACUCCGUGCCAGCAGCCG